UACGUAGGGGGGCAAGCGUUGUCCGGAUUUACUGGGCGUAAAGAGCGUGUAGGCGGCCAGGCAGGUCUGUUGUGAAAACUGGAGGCUCAACUUCCAGACGUCGAUAGAAACCGCUUGGCUAGAGUCCGGAAGAGGAGAGUGGAAUUCCUGGUGUAGCGGUGAAAUGCGCAGAUAUCAGGAAGAACACCGAUGGCGAAGGCAGCUCUCUGGGACGGUACUGACGCUGAGACGCGAAAGCGUGGGGAGCAAACGGG
rnacentral:rRNA from 1 species